ACCUUCCUUGUCAUGGGGUGAGUGAGCUGCUCAAUGAACGUGUAGUGAGAGCAGCCCUGCCAACGCCAUAACGACACUUUAGCAUCACCUGGACUUCUGUCCAGAUCAUGGUGCAAUUUUUGGAACC